GGGCUCGUAGCUCAGGCGGUUAGAGCACGGUCCUGAUAAGACCGGGGUCCUAGGUUCGAGUCCUAGCGGGCCCACCA
rnacentral:tRNA from 1 species